AUUGAACGCUGGCGGCAUGCCUUACACAUGCAAGUCGAACGGUAACGGGCCUUCGGGUGCCGACGAGUGGCGAACGGGUGAGUAAUGUAUCGGAACGUACCAUUCAGUGGGGGAUAACGUAGCGAAAGUUACGCUAAUACCGCAUAUUCUGUGAGCAGGAAAGCAGGGGAUCGCAAGACCUUGCGCUGAUUGAGCGGCCGAUAUCAGAUUAGCUAGUUGGUGGGGUAAAGGCCUACCAAGGCGACGAUCUGUAGCGGGUCUGAGAGGAUGAUCUGCCACACUGGAACUGAGACACGGUCCAGACUCCUACGGGAGGCAGCAGUGGGGAAUUUUGGACAAUGGGGGCAACCCUGAUCCAGCCAUGCCGCGUGAGUGAAGAAGGCCUUCGGGUUGUAAAGCUCUUUCGGCCGGGAAGAAAUCGCAUGGGCUAAUACCCUGUGUGGAUGACGGUACCGGAAUAAGAAGCACCGGCUAACUACGUGCCAGCAGCCGCGGUAA
rnacentral:rRNA from 1 species